CAGCUUGUUCAAAUUGACUGAUCCAGGGUCCUGAAUUACAACCGUGGCUUCCGACCAAACUAAAAAUGUUAAAAUAUAUGGAAACUCCCCAAAAAGAUGCUUGACACAGACCCCUUUGCAUCCAAAGAAAAAUCCAAGGACUUUUUGGAAGACCAAAAAUGUUGACCAUUUAAAGGCGCAUAUACUUUAAUGAAAAAAUUCUACUUUGAUUUCCUGCUACAUUUUAAAAUUUCUCAGGUUUCAAACUGAUUAUUUCAACUCAAGAGUGGGGGCCUAUAAAGCAAUCCUUUUUAAUCAGCAUGGCCUGCUCAGGAGUACUCACCCUUAUAUCUCUAAUCUUGCAGUCGAGACAGCUAUUAGUUUCAGUCUACUGACUAGGAAGACACCUAGGUGAGAAGUAAAGGGAAUAUUUUAGUCACAGAUGGCAGACUCUCUAGUCCACUACGACCAGGGCAACUGGCUGAUCACAUUGAAUGGGGAAUCCGUCCAUCUUUACUUUUUGUCCAAACUAGAAUGAGGACAAUUUACAACUCAGGUUCGGAAAAGAAAAAUUAAAUUAAGUCUUUGGAUUAAAAAUUGGCUAAAUGACAAAUGGGUAUUUCCUUAUGUUUAUAACCAGGUUGAGCCACAUUCCUCAAACCAUCUUAGAACUGCUGUAGUCAUCUGUAUUGCAAAAUAAUUCUCUGCUUUAAAAAAAUGGUUUCAGUGUUGGGUUCCCUUAUGUUUCAGGCAUGUCCCCUUACUGCUUUGAAGGUAGGAUCUAAGACGCCCACACCUCACCUCCAGUUCAAACACAAAUUUGAAAGGAGUCCGUUUUCUUUACCAAGAAAUAAUAACAAUAAAGAUCGACCUUAUGCGUGA